rnacentral:rRNA from 1 species
UACGGAGGGGGCUAGCGUUGUUCGGAAUUACUGGGCGUAAAGCGCACGUAGGCGGCGAUUUAAGUCAGAGGUGAAAGCCCGGGGCUCAACCCCGGAACUGCCUUUGAGACUGGAUUGCUAGAAUCUUGGAGAGGCGAGUGGAAUUCCGAGUGUAGAGGUGAAAUUCGUAGAUAUUCGGAAGAACACCAGUGGCGGAGGCGGCUCGCUGGACAAGUAUUGACGCUGAGGUGCGAAAGCGUGGGGAGCAAACAGG